rnacentral:rRNA from 1 species
GACGAACGCUGGCGGCGUGCCUAAUACAUGCAAGUCGAGCGAAUCGAUGGGAGCUUGCUCCCUGAGAUUAGCGGCGGACGGGUGAGUAACACGUGGGUAACCUGCCUGUAAGACUGGGAUAACUUCGGGAAACCGGAGCUAAUACCGGAUACUUUCUUUUCUCGCAUGAGGGAAGAUGGAAAGAUGGUUCUGCUAUCACUUACAGAUGGACCCGCCGCGCAUUAGCUAGUUGGUGAGGUAACGGCUCACCAAGGCAACGAUGCGUAGCCGACCUGCGAGGGUGAUCGGCCAUACUGGGACUGAGACACGGCCCAGACUCCUACGGGAGGCAGCAGUAGGGAAUCUUCCGCAAUGGACGAAAGUCUGACGGAGCAACGCCGCGUGAGCGAAGAAGGCCUUCGGGUCGUAAAGCUCUGUUGUUAGGGAAGAACAAGUACGAGAGUAACUGCUCGUACCUUGACGGUACCUAACCAGAAAGCCACGGCUAACUACGUGCCAGCCGCCGCAGUAAAAC